AUAUCACAUUGAAGUACCAAUUCUCAUACAAUCCUCAAAGUUAAGCCACAUCAAGCCUGGUCAGUACCUAGAUGGGUAACCACUUGGGUAUACCAGGUGCUGUAAG